UACGGAGGGUGCAAACGUUGCUCGGAAUUAUUGGGCGUAAAGCGCACGUAGGCGGACCAUCAAGUCGGAUGUGAAAUCCCUCGGCUUAACCGAGGACGUGCAUUCGAAACUGAUGGCCUUGAGUACGAAAGAGGAUCGCGGAAUUCCCGGUGUAGAGGUGAAAUUCGUAGAUAUCGGCAGGAACACCAGUGGCGAAGGCGGCGAUCUGGGUCGAUACUGACGCUGAGGUGCGAAAGCGUGGGGAGCAAACAGG
rnacentral:rRNA from 1 species